GACGAACGCUGGCGGCGUGCCUAAUACAUGCAAGUUGAGCGCUGAAGGUUGGUACUUGUACCAACUGGAUGAGCAGCGAACGGGUGAGUAACGCGUGGGGAAUCUGCCUUUGAGCGGGGGACAACAUUUGGAAACGAAUGCUAAUACCGCAUAAAAACUUUAAACACAAGUUUUAAGUUUGAAAGAUGCAAUUGCAUCACUCAAAGAUGAUCCCGCGUUGUAUUAGCUAGUUGGUGAGGUAAAGGCUCACCAAGGCGAUGAUACAUAGCCGACCUGAGAGGGUGAUCGGCCACAUUGGGACUGAGACACGGCCCAAACUCCUACGGGAGGCAGCCGUAGGGAAUCUUCGGCAAUGGACGAAAGUCUGACCGAGCAACGCCGCGUGAGUGAAGAAGGUUUUCGGAUCGUAAAACUCUGUUGGUAAAGAAGAACGUUGGUGAGAGUGGAAAGCUCAUCAAGUGACGGUAACUACCCAGAAAGGGACGGCUAACUACGUG
rnacentral:rRNA from 1 species